UUUUGUCCGCAUUAAACGUUAUUAACCUCACAUCUACUCGGGUUUCAGCCGAAUUCCCCAUGUUUUCGACAAAAAGAAAGGGGAAAAGGAAAGAAAUGGAGAAACUCCACUGAAAUAGAGUAGAGAACUCCAUUACCAGAUCUAAACCAAGAGAGGAGAGAGAAGGCAGACAAAGGAAUUCAUUUGAUUAUGUCACGUGUACGGUUUAGGGGAGGGGGGACUAGGGUAGGUAGUGAGUGGGGCUGACAUGGGACUUCUUUUCAAAUUUCAAAUUCCUACGCGACAAUCGCGACACGGUCCGCGACUAACGCAUCAUUUCCGUUACCGAGACUCCGCGACCGUGACCGAUACCGCAUUUUUUAUCUAUGGGGGGAGGGGUAUUUUAGGGAGUAGAAUUAUUUUUCUGUUAUGAGUGGCUUGAAUAAUAAGCUAGGUAGUUCGUUCUAUAAAUAGAGAACAUAUGAGGGAGAGCAAAUCAUGUUGAUUAUUCAUGAGUGAUUUUUUGAGCUUUUAAGAGUUCAUUGGAAAGAAUCAAGCCUCUCAAGCUUCAAUACCUUUACGUUUUGCUGUAAUUUCAGUUCAUCAAUCAAUUUUUCUUCUUCUUGCUUAGAUUUCUACCAUUAUUGAUGUCUAAGUUGUAUUAGUUCAUAGCAUGUUAUGUCGAGUGGGGUUAAAUCAGGUUUUAUAAUUUCAGGUAAAACUAGAGCUUGGGCGGGUAAUUCGGAUUGAGUUAUCACUUUGUGGCUUUUCCACUAUGAGAUUUGAUUAAUUUUGAGAAAUUGCGAAUAUUGUAUUUGUAAUUUAUGGGUUAAGGUUGAAGUAUGGCAUGGGGACUCAAGUUCGGAGCAAGAACUGGGCGAUUCCGACGCUGAGUUCGUUGAGGUUGAUCCGAAUAAUCGCUAUGGUAGGGUGAACUCAGUUUAAACAUCUUUCUGCAAAAAUAUUCACGGAUGGCCUCGAUAACAGUGCCCUUCAAUGAGUUUGUGAGAAAUUCAGGCUUUGAUCGAACUUCUUCCGUGUUUAUGGUUCACAAAGAUGGAGAGCAUAAGCAAACCGUCUUCCGUAAGUAUUUCAAGAUCUUGAUACAAACAAGCUAGAUCCGUCUUUGACGCGAGCGGUGGAUUUAGCGGCACAAACUCAUGGCGGCGUUAGGAUCUCGGUGGUGGAAGACCUCAUCAUCUGUAAUUCUUUAGAAGAGUUGGUCCUGGGUGGGAGAGGUGUCAAUUUGUGCAGUUUAGAACUAUCUUAGUUCGUUAAUUUUGUACUUUGAUUUAUUAAACCUUGUAAGAUAAUGUAAUACUAAAGAAAUUCAGAUGUAUCCCCUUGGAAAAACCAGUGAUAUUUUUUGUUCUUGUACUCUAUAUUUUAUUAAUAAUAAUGAGAAAGGUUUACGAUUUCAAUGUUUUGUCACAGAAA